rnacentral:tRNA from 1 species
GCGCGUGUGGCGGAAUUGGCAGACGCACCAGACUUAGGAUCUGGCGGGAAACCGUGGGGGUUCAAAUCCCUCCACGCGCACCA